rnacentral:rRNA from 1 species
AUAAUUAAAACUCCGGUGGUUAAAGAUGAGCAUGCGUCCUAUUAGCUUGAUGGUGAGGUAACGGCUCACCAUUGCUACGAUAGGUAGGGGCCCUGAGAGGGGGAUCCCCCACACUGGUACUGAGACACGGACCAGACUCCUACGGGAGGCAGCAGUAAGGAAUAUUGCGCAAUGGAGGCAACUCUGACGCAGCCAUGCCGCGUGAAGGAAGAAGGCCUUAUGGGUCGUAAACUUCUUUUAUUUAGGAAUAAACUCUCGUACGUGUACGAGACUGAAGGUACUAAACGAAUAAGCACCGGCUAACUCCGUGCCAGCAGCCGCGGUAAUACGGAGGGUGCAAGCGUUAUCCGGAUUUAUUGGGUUUAAAGGGUGCGCAGGCGGACCGAUAAGUCAGUGGUGAAAUCCCGGGGCUCAACCCCGGAACUGCCAUUGAUACUGCCGGUCUUGAAUACGGUUGAAGUAGGCGGAAUGUAGCAUGUAGCGGUGAAAUGCAUAGAGAUGCUACAGAACACCGAUCGCGAAGGCAGCUUACUAAACCGAUAUUGACGCUCAGGCACGAAAGCGUGGGGAGCAAACAGGAUUAGAUACCCUGGUAGUCCACGCCGUAAACUAUGAUCACUCGUUGUUGGCAAUACACAGUCAGUGACCAAGCGAAAGCGAUAAGUGAUCCACCUGGGGAGUACGAUCGCAAGGUUGAAACUCAAAGGAAUUGACGGGGGCCCGCACAAGAGGUGGAGCAUGUGGUUUAAUUCGAUGAUACGCGAGGAACCUUACCUGGGCUCAAAUGCAUAAUGACAGAUCCUGAAAGGGAUUUUUCUUCGGACAUUUUGCAAGGUGCUGCAUGGUUGUCGUCAGCUCGUGCCGUGAGGUGUCGGGUUAAGUCCCAUAACGAGCGCAACCCCUACUCUUAGUUGCCAGCAUGUAAUGAUGGGGACUCUAGGAGAACUGCCUACGCAAGUAGAGAGGAAGGUGGGGAUGACGUCAAAUCAGCACGGCCCUUACGUCCAGGGCUACACACGUGCUACAAUGGCCGGUACAAUAUGA